UGUGCCAGCAGCCGCGGUAAUACGAAGGGUGCAAGCGUUACUCGGAAUUACUGGGCGUAAAGCGUGCGUAGGUGGUUCGUUAAGUCUGAUGUGAAAGCCCUGGGCUCAACCUGGGAACUGCAUUGGAUACUGGCGAUCUGGAGUGCGGUAGAGGGUAGCGGAAUUCCCGGUGUAGCAGUGAAAUGCGUAGAUAUCGGGAGGAACAUCCGUGGCGAAGGCGGCUACCUGGACCAGCACUGACACUGAGGCACGAA
rnacentral:rRNA from 1 species